ensembl:lncRNA
AUGACACAUGACAUCGGGUCUACCGGGUGUGGCAUAAACUCAGGAAAAGUUCCCAGAGGUCACAGCAGCGUCGGUGAAGAUCCGCAGUUUUGGUUUUGUGUUUUCCGUUUUUCUUUUCUUUUUUCUUUUUUUUUCCCCGUUUUUCUUUUUUCUUUUUUUCUUUUUUCCCCCAUUUUUUCUUUCUUUUUUUCUGUCUUUCAUUUCUUUUUUUCUUUUUUUAUCUUUCUUUUCUUUUUUCUUUUUUCCCCCGCUUUUGUUUUCUUUUUUCCAUUUUUCUUUUUUCCGUUUUUUUUCCAUUUUUCUUUUCUUUUUUCUUUUUUUCCAUCUUUCUUUUCUUUUUUCUUUUUUUCCCCCUUUUUUCUUUUUUCUUUUUCCCCGUUUUUCUUUUUUUUUUUUCUUUUUUUCUUUUUCCCCGUUUUUGUUUUCUUUUUUUCCAUUUUUCUUUUUUCUUUUUUUCCGUUUUUUUUUUUUCCAUUUUUCUUUUCUUUUUUUUUUUUUUUUUCCAUCUUUCUUUUUCUUUUUUUCUUUUUUCCCCCAUUUUUUCUUUUUUCUUUUUCCCCGUUUUUCUUUUUUUUUCUUUUCUUUUUUUUUUUCCGUUUUUUUUCUUUUUUCCUUUUUUUUUUUUCCAUUUUUCUUUUUUCUUUUCUUUUUUCCUUUUUUUUUUUUUUUUCCAUCUUUCUUUUUUCUUUUUUUUCCAUCUUUCUUUUUUCUUUUUUCCUUUUUUCCUUUUUUCUUUUUUCUUUUUUUUUCUUUUCUUUUUUUCCAUCUUUCUUUUCUUUUUUCUGUUUUUCUUUUUUCUUUUUUUCCAUUUUUCUUUUCUUUUUUCCGUUUUUUCUUUUUUCUUUUCCUUUUUUUUUCUUUUCUUUUUUCUUUUUUCUUUUUUCCCCGUUUUUGUUUUCUUUUUUCCGUUUUUCUUUUUUCUUUUUUCCUUUUUUUUUCUUUUUUCCGUUUUUCUUUUCUUUUUUCUUUUUUUCCAUUUUUCUUUUCUUUUUUCCUUUUUUUUCCGUUUUUCUUCUCUUUCCUUUUCUUUUUUCUUUUUUUUUCUUUUCUUUUUUCUUUUUUCUUUUUUCCCCGUUUUUUUUCUUUUUCUUUUUUUUUUUCCGUUUUUUUUCUUUUUUUCUUUUUUCCUUUUUUUUCUUUUUUCCGUUUUUCUUUUCUUUUUCUUUUUUCCUUUUUCUUUUCUUUUUUUCUUUUUUUUCCGUUUUUCUUCUCUUUCCUUUUCUUUUUUUUUCGAUCAGUGCUCAUCUUCAAUACUCGAGGGAGAGGUUGUCAACGUUGUCUUCUCUUUAUUUAUGA